UACGGAGGGGGCUAGCGUUGUUCGGAAUACUGGGCGUAAAGCGCGCGUAGGCGGACCUGCAAGUCGGGGGUGAAAGCCCGAGGCUCAACCUCGGAACUGCCUUCGAUACUGCGGGUCUCGAGUCCGGGAGAGGUGAGUGGAAUUCCGAGUGUAGAGGUGAAAUUCGUAGAGUAUUCGGAAGAACACCAGUGGCGAAGGCGGCUCAC
rnacentral:rRNA from 1 species